AGAGUUUGAUCAUGGCUCAGAACGAACGUUAGCGGCGCGCUUAACACAUGCAAGUCGUGCGAGAAAGGGGCAACCCCGGUAAAGCGGCGCACGGGUGAGUAACACGUAGGUAAUUUACCCCCAGGUGGUGGAUAACCCUCCGAAAGGAGAGCUAAUACAGCAUGAGACCACGGGCUCGAAAGGGCUUGAGGUCAAAGCCGGCCUCUUCACGAAAGCUGGCGCCAGGGGAUGAGCCUGCGGCCCAUCAGCUAGUUGGUAGGGUAAUGGCCUACCAAGGCGUAGACGGGUAGCUGGUCUGAGAGGAUGAUCAGCCACACUGGAACUGAGACACGGUCCAGACUCCUACGGGAGGCAGCAGUGGGGAAUCUUGCGCAAUGGGCGAAAGCCUGACGCAGCGACGCCGCGUGAGUGAUGAAGGCCUUCGGGUUGUAAAGCUCUGUGGAGAGGGACGAAUAAGUGUUGGCUAACAUCCAGCAUGAUGACGGUACCUCUUUAGCAAGCACCGGCUAACUCUGUGCCAGCAGCCGCGGUAAGACAGAGGGUGCAAACGUUGUUCGGAAUUACUGGGCGUAAAGCGCGUGUAGGCUGUCUUGCAAGUCGGGUGUGAAAGCCCCGGGCUCAACCUGGGAAGUGCACUCGAAACUGCAAGACUCGAGUCCUGGAGAGGAAGGCGGAAUUCUCGGUGUAGAGGUGAAAUUCGUAGAUAUCGAGAGGAACACCGGUGGCGAAGGCGGCCUUCUGGACAGUGACUGACGCUGAGACGCGAAAGCGUGGGGAGCAAACAGGAUUAGAUACCCUAGUAGUCC
rnacentral:rRNA from 1 species